CCUACGGGGCGCAGCAGUGGGGAAUAUUGCACAAUGGGGGAAACCCAGAUGCAGCGACGCCGCGUGAAGGACGAAGUAUUUCGGUACGUAAACUUCUAUCAGCAGGGAAGAAAAUGACGGUACCUGACCAAGAAGCCCCGGCUAACUACGUGCCAGCAGCCGCGGUAAUACGUAGGGGGCAAGCGUUAUCCGGAUUUACUGGGUGUAAAGGGAGCGUAGGCGGCUGUGUAAGCCAGAAGUGAAAGCCCGAGGCUCAACCACGGGACUGCUUUUGGAACUACACGGCUUGAUUGCAGGAGAGGCAA
rnacentral:rRNA from 1 species